rnacentral:pre_miRNA from 11 species
AAGCUCUUGAUGGAGAAGCAGGGCACGUGCAGUUCACAAAUUCUAAUCUGCUCUGCACGUGCAGUUCACAAAUUCUAAUCUGCUCUGCACGUGCUCCCCUUCUCCAACAUGGGUUC